UACCAGCUUGUGGAUAAGUAUUAUAGCCCUACAUUUACCAUAUAAUACUGUUUGUUUUAUUAUUUAAUAGUUGACACUGCAUGGCACAUACUGUGUUAUCACUAACAUCCCAUUCUAAACAUAGUCCAGGUCUGAUUUUGUCUGAUGCAUUACAUUUACAUUACAUUACACUUAUUCAUUUAGCAGACACUUUUAUCCAAAGCGACUUACAGAUGAAGACAGUGGAAGCAAUCAAAAAACAACAAAAAGAGCAAUGAUAUAUAAGUGCUAUAUCAAGUCUCAGUUAGGUUAACACAGUACACGUAGCAGGGGAUUUUAAAUAAUAUAAUAAAUAAAAUAAAAAAAAGAAUAAAACAAAUAAUAGAGCAAGCUAGUUAGAGGUCUAUAUACAUACACACACAUAUGUAAUAGCAGGGUUUCAGUCACGUGAUUAAGAUGACGCGCGAGGGCGGGAAGAAGGCAGAUGGAGGGCAGGAAGUAAACAUGGAGAAUACGUCUAUAGAGGAAACCGUUGCAGAAAGUCAGUAUUGUACGGAUUUAGAUCCAGUUUCAAGAUAUAGAUACAAGGAGUUAAUUAACAGAUAUGUUGGACGUGACCCGUACCUCAUGAAGAUGAGUGAGUUUUCAGUAGAACUGAAAGAUUUACCGACAGUUGAGGCUGUUGACAUCACCAACUAUCUGGUCCUUCAGACAUCGUACUACACCAGACAGCAAAUGAAGGCCUACAAAAGUAUGGAGGCAUACAACUUUUUUGUCAACGGAUGGGUCCACAACCUCGGUGUCAAACGGCUCCACGAUGAUCAUCGUUUGGUCUUCGCCAGAGUAAACCACUCUCAGAGAUCAAGCGAAACACCUCUGAAGACCUGGAUUAUUGCGAAGGAGGUUGGAGAAGUCAUUGCAGCUCAUUGCAAUUGCAUGGCAGGACUAUCAGAAUCAUGUUCUCAUGUAGGGGCAGUUCUUUUUUCCAUUGAAGUUGGGGUAAAGAUGCGAGAUUCCGCUUCCUGCACAACAGAGCAGUGCAAGUGGCUGAUGCCAUCACAUGUAAAAAAGAUUCCUGCUGCUCCAGUAGCUCUGAUUGACUUCUCCUCAGCAAAAGCAAAAAAAAAUAAAGCUUGA
rnacentral:lncRNA from 1 species